rnacentral:rRNA from 1 species
CCAGACUCCUACGGGAGGCAGCGGUGAGGAAUAUUGGUCAAUGGGCGCGAGCCUGAACCAGCCAAGUCGCGUGAGGGAAGACGGUCCUAUGGAUUGUAAACCUCUUUUGUCGGGGAGCAAAAGACGCCACGUGUGGCGUUCCGAGAGUACCCGAAGAAAAAGCAUCGGCUAACUCCGUGCCAGCAGCCGCGGUAAUACGGAGGAUGCGAGCGUUAUCCGGAUUUAUUGGGUUUAAAGGGUGCGCAGGCGGAAGAUCAAGUCAGCGGUAAAAUUGGGAGGCUCAACCUCUUCGAGCCGUUGAAACUGGUUUUCUUGAGUGAGCGAGAAGUACGCGGAAUGCGCGGUGUAGCGGUGAAAUGCAUAGAUAUCGCGCAGAACUCCGAUUGCGAAGGCAGCGUACCGGCGCCAGACUGACGCUGAGGCACGAAAGCGUGGGGAUCGAACAGGAUUAGAUACCCGGGUA